rnacentral:sRNA from 1 species
CUGAGUUAAUGGAAAAAUCUGCCUGUAAUUUUACUCCGUUUAGAAGAUACUCACCCCAAAAUAAUUCAGAAGUAACAGAAGAUAAGGAGAAGACUGUAUUGACAAGAGAUGCUAACAUUGGUAACAGAGGAGCUAGUAAUAUUAACAAUGGUUCUAAUAAUGCUGAGAAGAAUAAAACACAAUCCAGAAGCAAACUAACCCUU